rnacentral:misc_RNA from 1 species
GUAGGUGAACCUGCGGAAGGAUCAUUAAAAAUGAAGCCGGGAAACCGGUCCUUCUAACCCUUGAUUAUCUCAAUUUGUUGCUUUGGUGGGCCGCGCAAGCACCGGCUUUGGCUGGAUCGUGCCCGCCAGAGGACCUAAACUCUGUUUGUCUAUAAUGUCUGAGUACUAUAUAAUAGUUAAAACUUUCAACAACGGAUCUCUUGGUUCUG